GCGCGCUGCCGGCACCAUGGCCGUUUGCGGUGCCAAGGAGCAGCGCGCUGCCGGCACCACGGCCGUUUGCUGUGCCGAGGGGACCAGAGCCACAAGGACCUUCCUGACAUGAGACCAGGGAAGAGAAGGCAGCACUGCCUCGAGUUCCGUCUUCGGCCGAGGAUGGUUGAGAAGGAACUGAGGAGGGUGUGGGGCACACACACUCAGGAAGAUUCCAACGAGACGGGAGAUACCAACUGAGUGCGUGCGUCCCAAGCAGGCACUGCUACCGAAAAUCUCCGAUCAACGGCGCCGGGACACACCAUCACCUAGAGUGGAGCACCGACAGGGACAGCACUCGAAGAAGAAGCUAGAAGUCUAAAUAUUAAGAUGAGUGAACUAGAGUGCCUUGUGAUAAAGGAGGAUAUUGAUAUGAUAGGCAUCACAGAAACCUGGUGGAGUGAAGACAGUCAAUGGGACACAAUCAUUCCAUGGUACAAAAUAUACUGGAAGUACAGAACGGGUCACGCGUGGGGUGGGGAAGUGGCACUAUAUGUGAAAGAAAAUGUGCAAUCAACUGAAGUAAAAAUCUUAAGUGAAUCCACAUGUUCCAUAGAAUCUCGAUGGAUAGUAAUUUCAUGCUCUAAUAAGAACAUAACAUUAGGGAUCUAUUAUCGACCACCUGACCAGGACAGUGAUAGUGACGAUGAAAUGCUAAGGGAGAUUAGAGAGGCUGUCAAAAUAAAGAACUUGAUAAUAGUGGGGGAUUUCAAUUAUCCCCAUAUUGACUGGGAACAUGUCACCUCAGGACAAAAAGACAAAAUUUCUCGAUACUUUAAAUGACUGCUUCUUGGAGCAGCUAGUACAGGAACCCACUAGGGGAGAGGCAAUUCUCGAUUAAGUCCUGAGCGGAGCACAGGAUCUGGUCCAAGAUGCAACGCUCAGCAGCAGCUCCAGGCAUCAACGCUCCAAGUGUUCGCCUGGGGCGGCAAGCCGUGGGGGGCAGCCUGCCAGUCCCUGUGAGGGUGGCAGUCAGGCAGCCUUUGGCGGCUUGCCUGCAGGAGGUCCGCCGGUCCCGCAGAUUCGGCGGCAAUUCGGUGGCGGGUACGCUGAAUCUGUGGGACCAGGGACCUCCCACAGGCGUGCUGCCGAAGGCCGCCUAUCUGCUGUGCUUGGAGCAGCAAAAAAGCUAGAGCUGUCCCUGGUAAUGCUUGGAAGUAGCAUAAUACAAUAACUUUUAACAUGCCUGUGGUGGGCAGAACACUUCAACAGCCCAACACUGUGGCAUUUAACUUCAGAAAGGGGAACGAUGCAAAAAUGAGGGGGUUAGUUAAACAGAAAUUAAAAGGUUCAGUGACUAGAGUGAAAUCCCUGCAAGCUGCAUGGACACUCUUCAAAGACACUGUCAUAAACAGAUGGUUAAGGGUUAAUGUCUCUUUUACCUGUAAAGGGUUAAGAAGCUCAGUGAACCUGGCUGACACCUCACCAGAGGACCAAUGGGGGGACAAGAUACUUUCAAAUCUUGAUGGAGGGAAGUCUCUGUUUGUGUUGUUCGCUCUUGGGACAAAGAGGGACCAGACGUACAACCAGGCUCUCCAAAUCUUUCUGAAUCAGUCUUUCAUGUUUCAAAAUUGUAAGUAUAGCCAGGCAAGGCGGAUUAGUCUUAUGUUUGUUUUCUUUCAACUUGUGAAUGCUUUUCCUUUUGCUGGAAGGAUUUUUACCUCUGUUUGCUGUAACUUUGAAUCUAAGGCUGGGGGGGCAGGGGAGGUCUCUCUAGUCUAUAUGAAUCUGAAUACCCUGUAAAGCAUUUUCCAUCCUGAUUUUACAGAGAUAAUUUUUACUUUUUAUUUCUUUAAUUAAAAGCUUUCUUUUUUAA